AUCUUCUGUAAAAACCCUGAACACAGCUGAUCUUUUGUGAUCUCUGAGUCUAAGCAGAGCUCGGCCUGGUUACUACCUGGAUGGGACACUGCCUAGGAACUAGUUCACAGCACCUU
rnacentral:rRNA from 1 species